AACGAACGCUGGCGGUAUGCCUAAUACAUGCAAGUCGAACGAGACCUUCGGGUCUAGUGGCGCACGGGUACGUAACGCGUGGGAAUCUGCCCUUGGGUUCGGAAUAACAGCGGGAAACUGCUGCUAAUACCGGAUGAUGACGUAAGUCCAAAGAUUUAUCGCCCAGGGAUGAGCCCGCGUAGGAUUAGCUAGUUGGUGGG
rnacentral:rRNA from 1 species